rnacentral:rRNA from 1 species
UACGGAGGGUGCGAGCGUUGUCCGGAAUCACUGGGCGUAAAGGGGCGCGUAGGCGGCAGGCCAAGCGUGUGGUGAAAGCCCGGGGCUCAACCCCGGGUCGGCCUGCGGACUGGCGUGCUUGAGCACUGUGGGGCGGGUGGAAUUCCGGGUGUAGCGGUGGAAUGCGUAGAGAUCCGGAAGAACACCGGUGGCGAAGGCGGCCCGCUGGGCCAGGAAGAUGGAGCAAUCCAUCGGCUGACGCUGAGGCGCGACAGCGUGGGGAGCAAACAGGG